GUGUGUUGGUCACCAUGAGACCAGAUUGGCCUAAGUACUGUAGUAAAUACUACACAGUGGAUUUUUAUAGGACCACAUACUCCUGGGCAAUUACACCACUAGGAAACAUGGAAGACUGGCCUGAGUGUGAAGGAGUAAAGAUCAAACCUCCACAUUUGCUUAGAGAACCAGGCAG